CAGCCGCCACGGUAAUACGUAGGGUGCAAGCGUUAAUCGGAAUUACUGGGCGUAAAGCGUGCGCAGGCGGUUUGUUAAGACAGAUGUGAAAUCCCCGAGCUUAACUUGGGAACUGCAUUUGAAACUGGCAAGCUAGAGUCUUGUAGAGGGGGGUAGAAUUCCAGGUGUAGCGGUGAAAUGCGUAGAGAUCUGGAGGAAUACCGGUGGCGAAGGCGGCCCCCUGGACAAAGACUGACGCUCAGGUGCGAAAGCGUGGGGAGCAAACAGGAUUAGAGACCCCAGUAGUCCCUGUCUCUUAUAC
rnacentral:rRNA from 1 species